GGUGGCUCAGUGGUAGAGCGCUUGCCUUUUAUGAAUGAGGCCCUGGGUUCGAUUCCUCAGCACCA
rnacentral:tRNA from 1 species